AUUGAACGCUGGCGGCAUGCCUUACACAUGCAAGUCGAACGGUAACAGGUCUUUCGGGAUGCUGACGAGUGGCGAACGGGUGAGUAAUACAUCGGAACGUGCCUAGUAGUGGGGGAUAACUACUCGAAAGAGUGGCUAAUACCGCAUGAGAUCUAUGGAUGAAAGCAGGGGACCUUCGGGCCUUGUGCUACUAGAGCGGCCGAUGGCAGAUUAGGUAGUUGGUGGGAUAAAAGCUUACCAAGCCUACGAUCUGUAGCUGGUCUGAGAGGACGAUCAGCCACACUGGGACUGAGACACGGCCCAGACUCCUGCGGGAGGCAGCAGUGGGGAAUUUUGGACAAUGGGCGCAAGCCUGAUCCAGCAAUGCCGCGUGCAGGAUGAAGGCCUUCGGGUUGUAAACUGCUUUUGUACGGAACGAAAAGUCUUGGGUUAAUACCCUGGGAUCAUGACGGUACCGUAAGAAUAAGCACCGGCUAACUACGUGCCAGCCGCCGCAGUAAUAC
rnacentral:rRNA from 1 species